rnacentral:rRNA from 1 species
UAUAGAUUAAGUUAUUAAGGGCGCACGGUGGAUGCCUUGGCACUAGAAGCCGAAGAAGGACGUUACUAACGA